rnacentral:lncRNA from 1 species
AAACAAUUAAAUAUAAUACAUGCAAUUCACAGACUUACGUUUCUUCCCGGGAAGAAAUCUCACAAAAGUGUCACAAGUAAAAGCCGAAAGUUCCCCCAGGCACUUUUAUCAACUUGAUGACACUAAAAAAACCCCGGCUUCACUAAAAACAGAGCUCUUGCGACGUUGACGGUUGCUGCCGGACUGAGUGGUGACUUGGAGAGCUUGAGGCUUGAGGAAAACAGCUAAGGUAAAGGUGUAUUGGAGGUAACGUACUAACGUGUCUCCCCUCCUACCUUGGCUCUUUCUCUAUCUUAUCCAUUAACUGGUGCCUCUAUUUUAAACCUCUCGUUUCCACCUGCAAACAAUAUACAGACGGAUGUAUUACAUGCAUCUACCUGUGUAGCAGCACAUUCCCGAACAAGUCUCUCGUACAGUGCUGUGCUCGGAUAUCCUUUUAGAUGGUUGUUUACUUGCUAGCAGACAAAGCUUAGGAUGCCAGCCGGUGAGUCAUAGGUCACAGGAGGGAAGAAACAAAAGAUUUAAAAAAAAACUUGGGAACUUAAAACUUACGGUUCAGCUAAAGAUUAUUAUUAUUAUUUUAAUGGAAAUAAAAACCAACAAGGAAAAGGUUCGGGUUUAAAUGCUCAACUUUGAGGUCUUCAGGUCAGGAAGUUUUAAAUAAACAGUCUCUUUUCAUUAAGAUUUUUUUUUCUUUGAGUACUUACGUUGCAUUGCCGACAAUUGCGCUAGAAGUAAUAUUGAAAUUAUGGUUGCGGGUCAAGCAAUGAAGCGAAUCCUUUGGGGUUUUAUAAUUCUACAAGGAAUAAAUAUGCGUGCCAGAGUCCACAUACGGAAAUCAGGGUCGCGUGACCGUAGACCCUGACCGCUGGGAGCCAAUGUCAUGUGAUUCUCGUGACUGGAUGCACUGGAGUUGUCCUUCGUGAUGUCCUGUGGAAACAGAUAGUAAGGACAACAAGUUUCGCUAAAUCAUUAGAACUCGUAAUAAAAAUACUGGUUUCAUUUUUAUUGAUACAAGUAUUUUUUUGGUUU